AAUAGGUUUGGUCCCAGCCUUACUAUUGGUUGCCAGUAAAACUACACAUGCAAGUAUCCGCGCUCCAGUGAGGAUGCCCUGUAAGUCACCACACCUGACAAAAAGGAGCAGGUAUCAAGCACACUCCUAAGUAGCUCACAACACCUUGCUCUGCCACACCCCUACGGGAAACAGCAGUGAUAGAAAUUAAGCAAUAAACGAAAGUUUGACUAAGUUAUACUUGCCCUGGGUUGGUAAAUUUCGUGCCAGCCACCGCGGUCAUACGAUUAACCCUAAUCAAUAGAUCUACGGCGUAAAACGUGUUUAAGAACCCCCAAUAAUAAAGCCAAACUACAGCUACGCUGUAAAAAGCCUCAGCUAUUGUAAACCCUACCACGAAAGUAGCUUUAAGCCCCCUGAACACACGACAGCUAAGACCCAAACUGGGAUUAGAUACCCCACUAUGCUCAGCUAUAAACCCAAAGGAUUAACCUAACAAAAUCCUUCGCCAGAGUACUACUAGCCAAAGCUUAAAACUCAAAGGACUUGGCGGUGCUUCAUAUCCUCCUAGAGGAGCCUGUUCUAUAAUCGAUAAACCCCGAUAAACCUCACCAACUCUCGCUAACUCAGCCUAUAUACCGCCAUCUUCAGCAAACCCUAAUAAAGGAACAAUAGUAAGCUCAACCACAGCACGUAAAAACGUUAGGUCAAGGUGUAGCCUAUGAGUUGGAAAGAAAUGGGCUACAUUUCCUAUUACCAGGACACCCAUCCCCAUACGAAAAUCCCUGUGAAACCAAGGAUUAAAGGUGGAUUUAGCAGUAAGCUAAGAAUAGAGCGCUUAACUGAAUAAGGCCAUGAAGCACGCACACACCGCCCGUCACCCUCCUCAAAUAUCAAUGGCCAUUAUACCCAACCCUAUUAACCCAAUCCAUAAAUACUAGAGGAGACAAGUCGUAACAAGGUAAGCGUACUGGAAAGUGCGCUUGGAUAACA
rnacentral:ncRNA from 1 species